UAGUAUUGAUUAUUUUAUGUUAACUUAGUUUUCUCCACUGUGCAGCAGUGAUAUGUGUUUUAGGUUGUCAGACUGUCUAAUUAUAGUAACAACAUGUUCAAUAUUGGUUGCAAAAGUAUUUCAUACUUGCAAAACAAAUAGCUAUUGCAACACACCUGGAAAAUUUCAUAAUUUUAUAAAUGAGAAAGGAUUAAUACACUGACAGCUUUUGCUUAAUACUGGAUUCUUUCUUUAUUAUUUUUGAUACGUCACUAAUAUAUUGGAAAAAUGAUAAUUUUUUAUUGAGAAAAUGAAUUAUACUUAAACUAAAUUAUUGGUGACCCCCCACUCAGUUUCCUUUCUGUUUUCCUGUUGAUUUGUAGAAAUUGAUAUUUGGCUGAUCUGUGAAGUAUUAUUGUAUGUCACACAUUAAUUUCUUGUCUGGUAGAUUCGUAUUUUGCACAAUAUGAUCUUUACCUUUACAUGGCAGAGUUUCAUUGCAAUUAUUCAUCAUAUGGUGUAAAAUUAGCGCUUAACUUAAUAUAGAUAUUAAAUCAUUUUAUAAUCAGAUUACAAGGCACGUUAUAAUCCAAGAAUGAUUUUCAUUUCAAUUAAGGUAUACUGAGGCAGGCAAUAUUUCAAUUAUAGUCUGAAAGUAUCGUUAAAAUCGAUAAGUAUAAUUAUUUUUCCUGUCAAUAUGAUGCAUACAUUUUCAAUAUUAAUGCAUUCAGUUCUUGUAUGUUGAUAAAUCUCUGACACAGGUGGAACAUUUGCUAUAUUUAGAAUAAAAGAAACUCAAUACUUGGAAAAGUAAACGAUUACAACAACAAAACUCAGGCAUUACCCACAUAAAUAGGUCGCGGAUGCCAUUUGAUUAUCUAGUAACAAAGGAUUCAAGACAACACACUGCAGGGUGUCUUUUUAUUUAAUCCUCAUCAUAAUUUUGAUGAAAAUAAGUCAUGAGGUGUGAAUUGAUUUUGAAAGAAAAAGGGAUAGAAGUGGUGGUUAUCUGAUGAAGUUUGGAUGUAAUAAUUCAUGAGAUGAUUAAAAAGUAACACAUGUAUGAAACAUAAGAAUAAGACGAAUAAGAGUACAAAUUCAGAUGGUUAUCAUGUUGACUGCUUGCCUGGUAAUUAUUGUGCAGUAUCAACCCUGUCAAUACCACCAGGUAAAGGUUGAGUUUUAUAAUGAUCAGAUAAGUUAAAAAAAAACACAAAGAGGCAAUACACCGCUGUAUUGAAUGGUAUAUACUGUGUACAAAAAUAUUUUGUUAGCCGACAUGAAGCAUGUACACAUUCUAUCGUUGUUUCCUGGAUGAAUAGCUGCAAAGACUAAAGCACAAAACUCAGGUGGUUGUCGCAUAUUGCCUACUUGCCUGGUAGCUGGUGCGAUAUCAACCCUGUGUCACCGCCUGAUGAAAUUUGUUGUAAUUAAUCAUCAGGUGAUGGAAAAGGAACAUGCAAACAUUGUUUGUUAUAUUAAAAAAAAAAUGAAUGAAAAAGGAAGAGAAAAAAUAUUAGAAAUGAAAUGUGAUAUAACUUGAAUAAGUACAUGUUGUUCCUUCUUUAGGAUAAGUAAGUAAGGUAGGAGAAAUAGAAGAAAAAUACUUGCGAGUAUAACAGAAUUGAAUAAACAAGUGAACUCAAAAAGCACAAAAUACAGUUGUACAAUGUAGAAGAAAAUGAAUUCUAACUUGUGAAUAUUAUUAAUGAAAGGAAAAGCACAAAACUCAGGUGGUUGUCACAUAUUGUCUUCUUGCCUGGUAGCUGGUGGGAUAUAAACCCUGUGUCACCGCCUGAUGAAAUUUGUUGUAAUUAAUCAUCAUGCGAUGGAAAAGGAACAUGCAAACUUCAUUUAUUAUAUUAGAAAAAAUGAAUGAAAAAGGAGAAAAAAUAUCAGAAAUGAAAUGUUACACAACUUGAAUAAGUACAUGUUCCAACUUUGGAUUAAGUUUCUGUAAGUUAGGAGAAAUAGAAGAAAAUUACUUGCGAGUAUGAAAGAAUUUAAUUGGCAAGUGAACUCAAAAAGCACAAAAUUCGGUUGUACAAUGUAGAAGAAAAUUAAUACUAAAUUGUGAAUAUUAUUAAUGAAAAAAAAAAGCUCAAAACUCAGGUGGUUGUCGCAUAUUAUUGCCUUUUUGCCUGGUAGCUGGUGCGAUAUCAACCCUGUGUCACCGCCUGAUGAAAUUUGGAUGAAAUGAUUUAUCAGAUAAUGUAAAAGGAACACAUGUACUAAACAGAAUAAAGAUGAAUAGAGUACAAAAUUAGGAUGUCGACUACUUGUCUGGAGGCCGAUGCAUUAUAAACCCUUUAACAAAUUAACGUCAGGUAAAUGUUGAUCUUUAUAAUUAUCAGAUAACCGAAAAAACGAAAAGACAAAAUACCACUGGAUUGAAUGGUAUGUACUAGUACUGAGUACAGAAAUGUUUUGUUAGUCGAUAUAAAGCAUGUACACACUCUAUCGUUGUAUCCUGGAUGAAUAGCUUCAAAGACUAAAGCACAAAACUCAGGUGGUUGUCACAUAUUGCCUACUUGCCUGGUAGCUGGUGCGAUAUCAACCCUGUGUCAUCGCCUGAUGAAAUUUGGAUAUAAUUAAUUAUCAGGUGAUGGAAAAGGAACAUGCAAAUGACGUUUGUUAUAUGAGAAAAAUAAAAUGAAUGAAAAAGGGAAAAAAAUAUCAGAAAUGAAAUGUUAUAUAGCUUGAAUACGUACAUGUUCCUUCUUUGGGAAAGUUUCUGUAAGGUAGGAGAAAUAGAAGAAAAUCACAUGCGAGUAUAAAAGAAUUGAAUUAACAAGUGAACUCAAAAAACACAAAAUUCGGUUGUACAAUGUAGAAAAAAUUAUUAAUGAAAGCAAAAAGAACAAAACUCAGGUGGUUGUCGCAUAUUGCCUACUUGCCUGGUAGCUGGUGCUAUAUAAACCCUGUGUCAUCGCCUGAUGAAAUUUGUUGUAAUUAAUCAUCAGGUGAUGGAAAAGUAACAUGCAAACAUUGUUAUAUUAGAAAAAAAUGAAUGAAAAAGGAAGAGAAAAAUAUCAGAAAUGAAAUGUUAUAUAACUUGAAUAAGUACAUGUUGUUCCUUCUUUAGGAUAAGUUUCUGUAAUGUAGGAGAAAUAGAAGAAAAAUACUUGCGAGUAUAACAGAAUUGAAUUAACAAGUGAACUCAAAAAGCACAAAAUACAGUUGUACAGUGUAAAAGAAAAUGAAUUCAAACUUGUGAAUAUUAUUAAUGAAAGGAAAAAGCACAAAACUCAGGUGGUUGUCGCAUAUUGCCUACUUGCCUGGUAGCUGGUGCGAUAUCAACCCUGUGUCAUCGCCUGAUGAAAGUUGUUGUAAUUAAUCAUCAGGUGUUGGAAAAGGAACAUGCAAACAUUGUUUGUUAUAUUAGAAAAAAAUGAAUGAAAAUGGAAGAGAAAAAAUAUCAGAAAUGAAAUGUUAUAUUAACUUGAAUAAGUACAUGUUGUUCCUUCUUUAGGAUAAGUAAGUAAGGUAGGAGAAAUAGAAGAAAAAUACUUGCGAGUAUAACAGAAUUGAAUAAACAAGUGAACUCAAAAAGCACAAAAUACAGUUGUACAAUGUAAAAGAAAAUGAAUUCAAACUUGUGAAUAUUAUUAAUGAAAGGAAAAAGCACAAAACUCAGGUGGUUGUCGCAUAUUGCCUACUUGCCUGGUAGCUGGUGCGAUAUCAACCCUGUGUCAUCGCCUGAUGAAAUUUGGAUGUAAAUAAUUAUCAGGUGAUUGAAAAGGAACAUGCAAACAUUGUUUGUUAUACGAGAAAAAUAAAAAGAAUGAAAAAGGAAGGGAAAAAAUAUCAGAAAUGAAAUGUUAUAUAGCUUGAAUACGUACAUGUUCCUUCUUUGGGAAAGUUUCUGUAAGGUAGGAGAAAUAGAAGAAAAUCACAUGCGAGUAUAAAAGAAUUGAAUUAACAAGUGAACUCAAAAAACACAAAAUUCGGUUGUACAAUGUAGAAAGAAAUUAUUAAUGAAAGGAAAAAGCACAAAACUCAGGUGGUUGUCGCAUAUUGCCUACUUGCCUGGUAGCUGGUGCGAUAUCAACCCUGUGUCAUCGCCUGAUGAAACUUGUUGUAAUUAAUCAUCAGGUGUUGGAAAAGGAACAUGCAAACAUUGUUUGUUAUAUUAAAAAAAAUGAAUGAAAAAGGAAGAGAAAAAAUAUCAGAAAUGAAAUGUUAUAUAACUUGAAUAAGUACAUGUUGUUCCUUCUUUAGGAUAAGUAAGUAAGGUAGGAGAAAUAGAAGAAAAAUACUUGCGAGUAUAACAGAAUUGAAUAAACAAGUGAACUCAAAAAGCACAAAAUACAGUUGUACAAUGUAGAAGAAAAUGAAUUCUAACUUGUGAAUAUUAUUAAUGAAAGGAAAAGCACAAAACUCAGGUGGUUGUCGCAUAUUGCCUACUUGCCUGGUAGCUGGUGCGAUAUCAACCCUGUGUCAUCGACUGAUGAAAUUUGGAUGUAAUAAUUCAUCAGAUGAUGUAAAAGAAACACGCGUAUUAAGAUAAGAAUAAAGACGAAUAACAGUGCAAAAUUCAGAUGGUAAUCAUGUUGACUAUAAACUAUAAGCCCUGUAACAACGUCAGGUAAAUGUUGACCUUUAUAAUUAUAAGAUAACUGAAAAAAAACGAAAAGACAAAAUAUCACUGGAAUGAAUGGUAUAUACUGAGUAGAGAAAUAUUUUGUUAGCUGAUAUGAAGCAUGUACACACUAUCGUUUUAUCCUGGAUGAAUAGUUGCAAAUACUAAAGCACAAAACUCAGGUGGUUGUCGCAUAUUGUCUUCUUGCCUGGUAGCUGGUGCGAUAUAAACCCUGUGUCAUCGCCUGAUGAAAUUUGUUGUAAUUAAUCAUCAUGCAAUGGAAAAGGAACAUCCAAACUUCGUUUGUUAUAUUAGAAAAAAAAAUAAAUGAAAAAGGAGCAAAAAAGUUAGAAAUGAAAUGUUAAACAAAUUGAAUAAGUACGUGUUGUUCCUACUUUGGGUUAAGUUUCUGUAAGGUAGGAGAAAUAGAAAGAACUUACUUGUGAGUAUAACAAAUUUGAAUUAACAAGUAGUGCAUUCGAACAGCACAAAAUUCGGUUGUACAAUGUAGAAGAAAAUGAAUACAAAAUUGUGAAUAUUAUUAAUGAAAACAAAAAGCACAAAACUCAGGUGGUUGUCGCAUAUUGCCUAUUUGCCUGGUAGCUGGUGCGAUAUAAAUCCUGUGUCACCGCCUGAUGAAAUUUGGAUGAAAUUAUUCAUCAGAUGAUGUAAAAGGAACACAUGUACUAAACAAAAUAAAGAUGAAUGGAGUACAAAAUUUUGAUGGUUAUCAUGUCGACUACUUGUCUGGAGGCUGAUGUAUUAUAAACCCUGUAACAACGUCAGGUAAAUGUUGAUCUUGAUAAUUAUCAGAUAACCGAAAAAACGAAAAGACAAAAUACCACUGGAUUGAAAGGUAUAUACAAAUUGUACUGAGUACAGAAAUAUUGUGUUAACCGACAUAAAGCAUGUACACACUCUAUCCUUGCAUUCCGGAUGAAUAGCUGCAAAGACUAAAGCACAAAACUCAGGUGGUUGUCACAUAUUGCCUACUUGCCUGGUAGCUGGUGCGAUAUCAACCCUGUGUCACCGCCUGAUGAAAUUUGUUGUAAUUAAUCAUCAGGUGAUGGAAAAGGAACAUGCAAACAUUGUUUGUUAUAUUAGAAAAAAAUGAAUGAAAAAGGAAGAGAAAAAAUAUCAGAAAUGAAAUGUUAUAUAACUUGAAUAAGUACAUGUUGUUCCUUCUUUAGGAUAAGUAAGUAAGGUAGGAGAAAUAGAAGAAAAAUACUUGCGAGUAUAACAGAAUUGAAUAAACAAGUGAACUCAAAAAGCACAAAAUACAGUUGUACAAUGUAGAAGAAAAUGAAUUCUAACUUGUGAAUAUUAUUAAUGAAAGGAAAAGCACAAAACUCAGGUGGUUGUCGCAUAUUGCCUACUUGCCUGGUAGCUGGUGCGAUAUCAACCCUGUGUCAUCGACUGAUGAAAUUUGGAUGUAAUAAUUCAUCAGAUGAUGUAAAAGAAACACGCGUAUUAAGAUAAGAAUAAAGACGAAUAACAGUGCAAAAUUCAGAUGGUAAUCAUGUUGACUAUAAACUAUAAGCCCUGUAACAACGUCAGGUAAAUGUUGACCUUUAUAAUUAUAAGAUAACUGAAAAAAACGAAAAGACAAAAUAUCACUGGCAUGAAUGGUAUAUACUGAGUAGAGAAAUAUUUUGUUAGCUGAUAUGAAGCAUGUACACACUAUCGUUUUAUCCUGGAUGAAUAGUUGCAAAUACUAAAGCACAAAACUCAGGUGGUUGUCACAUAUUGUCUUCUUGCCUGGUAGCUGGUGCGAUAUAAACCCUGUGCCAUCGCCUGGUGAAGUUCGCAAUUUAUCAUCAGGUGAUGGAAAAGGAACAUCCAAACUUCGUUUGUUAUAUUAGAAAAAAAAAUUAAUGAAAAAGGAGAAAAAAAGUUAGAAAUGAAAUGUUACAAAAAUUGAAUAAGUACAUGUUGUUCCUACUUUGGGUUAAGUUUCUGUAAGGUAGGAGAAAUAGAAAGAACUUACUUGUGAGUAUAACAAAUUUGAAUUAACCAGUGCAUUCGAACAGCACAAAAUUCGGUUGUACAAUGUAGAAGGAAAUUAUUAAUGAAAAGAAAAAGCACAAAACUCAGGUGGUUGUCGCAUAUUGCCUAUUUGCCUGGUAGCUGGUGCGAUAUCAACCCUGUGUCACCGCCUGAUGAAAUUUGGAUGAAAUUAUUCAUCAGAUGAUAUAAAAGGAACACAUGUACUAAACAAAAUAAAGAUGAAUGGAGUACAAUAUUUUGAUGGUUAUCAUGUCGACUACUUGUCUGGAGGCUGAUGUAUUAUAAACCCUGUAACAACGUCAGGUAAAAUCAAUGUUGAUCUUGAUAAUUUUCAGAUAACCGAAAAAACGAAAAGACAAAAAUACCACUGGAUUGAAAGGUAUAUACUGAGUAAAGAAAUAUUGUGUUAACCGACAUAAAGCAUGUACACACUCUAUCCUUGCAUUCCGGAUGAAUAGCUGCAAAGACUAAAGAACAAAACUCAGGUGGUUGUCACAUAUUGCCUACUUGGCUGGUAGCUGGUGCGAUAUUAACCCUGUGUCAUCGCCUGAUGAAAGUUGUUGUAAUUAAUCAUCAGGUGAUGGAAAAGGAACAUGCAAACAUUGUUUGUUAUAUUAGAAAAAAAUGAAUAAAAAAGGAAGAGAAAAAAUAUCAGAAAUGAAAUGUUAUAUAACUUGAAUAAGUACAUGUUGUUCAUUCUUUAGGAUAAGUUUCUGUAAGGUAGGAGAAAUAGAACAAAAUUACUUGCGAGUAUGAACAAAUUAAGAAGUGAACUCAAAAAGUACAAAAAUGGUUGUAAACUGUAGAAGAAAUAAAUUAUAACUUGUGAAUUUUAUUAAUGAAAUUAAAUAAAAAGCACAAAACUCAGGUGGUUGUCACAUAUUGCCUACUUGCCUGGUAGCUGGUGCGAUAUAAACCCUGUGUCAUCGCCUGAUGAAUUUUGGUUGUAAUAAUUCAUUAGAUGAUGUAAAAGGAACACGUGUAUUCAGAUAAGAAUAAAGAUGAAUAGAGUAUAAAAUGUGGAUGGGUAUCAUGCCUACUACAUUUCUUGAAGCUGGUGCAGCAUAACCCUGUAAAAACGCCAGUUAAAUGUUAACCUUUAUAAUCAUCAGAUAACUGAAAAAGGAGCAAAAUACACAAGAUAGAAUGAUAUAUACUGAGUACAGAAAUAUUUUGUUAGCCGAAAUGAAGCAUGUACACAUUCUAUCGUUGUAUCCUGGAUGAAAAGCUGCAAAGACUAAAGCACAAAACUCAGGUGGUUGUCGCAUAUUGCCUACUUGCCUGGUAGCUGGUGCGAUAUCAACCCUGUGUCAUCGCCUGAUGAAAUUUGGAUGUAAUUAAUUAUCAGGUGAUUGAAAAGGAACAUGCAAAUGACGUUUGUUAUAUGAGAAAAAUAAAAUGAAUGAAAAAGGAAGGGAAAAAAUAUCAGAAAUGAAAUGUUAUAUACAUGUAGCUUGAAUACGUACAUGUUCCUUCUUUGGGAAAAUUUCCGUAAGGUGGGAGAAAUAGAAGAAAAUCACAUGCGAGUAUAAAAGAAUUGCAUUAACAAGUGAACUCAAAAAGCACAAAAUUCGGUUGUACAAUGUAGAAGGAAAUUAUUCAUGAAAGGAAAAAGCACAAAACUCAGGUGGUUGUCGCAUAUUGCCUACUUGCCUGGUAGCUGGUGCUAUAUAAACCCUGUGUCAUCGCCUGAUGAAAGUUGUUGUAAUUAAUUAUCAGGUGAUGGAAAAGGAACAUGCAAACAUUGUUUGUUAUAUUAGAAAAAAAUGAAUGAAAAAGGAAGAGAAAAAAUAUUAGAAAUGAAAUGUUAUAUAACUUGAAUAAGUACAUGUUGUUCCUUCUUUAGAAUAAGUUUCUGUAAGGUAGGAGAAAUAGAACUCAAAAAGUACAAAAUUUGGUUGUACAAUGUAGAAGAAAAUGACUUCUAACUGAUGGAUAUUAUUAAUGAAAAUAAAAAGCACAAAACUCAGGCGGUUGUCACAUAUAACCUACUUGCCUGGUAGCUGGUGCGAUAUCAACCCUGUGUCACCGCCUGAUGAAUUUUGGUUGUAAUAAUUCAUCAGAUGAUGUAAAAGGAACACGUGUAUUCAGAUAAGAAUAAAGAUGAAUAGAGUACAGAAUGUGGAUGGGUAUCAUGCCUACUACUUGUCUUGAAGCUGGUGCAGCAUAACCCUGUAAAAACAUCAGGUAAAUGUUAACCUUUAUAAUCAUCAGAUAACUGAAAAAAGGAGCAAAAUACACAAGAUAGAAUGAUAUACUGAGUACAGAAAUAUUUCGUUAGCCGAAAUAAAGCAUGUACACAUUCUAUCGUUGUAUCCUGGAUGAAUAGCUGCAAAGACUAAAGCACAAAACUCAGGUGGUUGUCGCAUAUUGCCUACUUGCCUGGUAGCUGGUGCGAUAUCAACCCUGUGUCAUCGCCUGAUGAAAUUUGUUGUAAUUAAUCAUCAGGUGAUGGAAAAGGAACAUGCAAACAUUGUUUGUUAUAUUAGAAAAAAAUGAAUGAAAAAGGAAGAGAAAAAAUAUCAGAAAUGAAAUGUUAUAUAACUUGAAUAAGUACAUGUUGUUCCUCAUUUAGGAUAAGUAAGUAAGGUAGGAGAAAUAGAAGAAAAAUACUUGUGAGUAUAACAGAAUUGAAUAAACAAGUGAACUCAAAAAGCACAAAAUACAGUUGUACAAUGUAGAGGAAAAUGAAUUCAAACUUGUGAAUAUUAUUAAUGAAAGGAAAAAGCACAAAACUCAGGUGGUUGUCGCAUAUUGCCUACUUGCCUGGUAGCUGGUGCGAUAUAAACCCUGUGUCAUCGACUGAUGAAAUUUGGUUGUAAUAAUUCAUCAGAUGAUGUAAAAGGAACACGUGUAUUCAGAUAAGAAUAAAGAUGAAUAGAGUACAAAAUGUGGAUGGGUAUCAUGCCUACUACUUGUCUUGAAGCUGGUGCAGCAUAACCCUGUAAAAACGUCAGGUAAAUGUUAACCUUUAUAAUCAUCAGAUAACUGAAAAAAGGAGCAAAAUACACAGGAUAGAAUGAUAUAUACUGAGUACAGAAAUAUUUUGUUAGCCGAAAUAAAGCAUGUACACAUUCUAUCGUUGUAUCCUGGAUGAAUAGCUGCAAAGACUAAAGCACAAAACUCAGGUGGUUAUCGCAUAUUGCCUACUUGCCUGGUAGCUGGUGCGAUAUCAACCCUGUGUCAUCGCCUGAUGAAAGUUGUUUUAAUUAAUCAUGUGUUGGAAAAGGAACAUGCAAACAUUGUUUGUUAUAUGAGAAAAAUAAAAUGAAUGAAAAAGGGAAAAAAUAUCAGAAAUGGAAUGUUACAUAGCUUGAAUACGUACAUGUUCCUUCUUUGGGAAAGUUUCUGUAAUGUAGGAGAAAUAGAAGAAAAUCACAUGCGAGUAUAAAUGAAUUGAAUUAUUCGGUUGUACAAUGUAGAAGGAAAUUAUUAAUGAAAGGAAAAAGCACAAAACUCAGGUGGUUGUCGCAUAUUGCCUACUUGCCUGGUAGCUGGUGCGAUAUCAACCCUGUGUCAUCGCCUGAUGAAAGUUGUUGUAAUUGAUCAUCAGGUGUUGGAAAAGGAACAUGCAAACAUUGUUUGUUAUAUUAGAAAAAAAUGAAUGAAAAAGGAAGAGAAAAAUUUCAGAAAUGAAAUGUUAUAUAACUUGAAUAAGUACAUGUUGUUCAUUCUUUAGGAUAAGUAAGUAAGGUAGGAGAAAUAGAAGAAAAUCACAUGCGAGUAUAAAAGAAUUGAAUUAACAAGUGAACUCAAAAAGCACAAAAUACAGUUGUACAAUGUAGAAGAAAAUGAAUUCAAACUUGUGAAUAUUAUUAAUGAAAGGAAAAAGCACAAAACUCAGGUGGUUGUCGCAUAUUGCCUACUUGCCUGGUAGCUGGUGCGAUAUCAACCCUGUGUCAUCGCCUGAUGAAAGUUGUUGUAAUGAAUCAUCAGGUGUUGGAAAAGGAACAUGCAAACAUUGUUUGUUAUAUUAGAAAAAAAUGAAUGAAAAAGGAAGAGAAAAACUAUCAGAAAUGAAAUGAUAUAUAACUUGAAUAAGUACAUGUUGUUCAUUCUUUAGGAUAAGUAAGUAAGGUAGGAGAAAUAGAAGAAACAUACUUGCGAGUAUAACAGAAUUGAAUAAACAAGUGAACUCAAAAAGCACAAAAUACAGUUGUACAAUGUAGAAGAAAAUGAAUUCUAACUUGUGAAUAUUAUUAAUGAAAGGAAAAAGCACAAAACUCAGGUGGUUGUCGCAUAUUGCCUACUUGCCUGGUAGCUGGUGCGAUAUCAACCCUGUGUCAUCGCCUGAUGAAAUUUGGAUGUAAUAAUUCAUCAGAUGAUGUAAAAGGAACACACGUAUUAAGAUAAGAAUAAAGACGAAUAACAGUGCAAAAUUGAGAUGGUAAUCAUGUCCACUAUAAACUAUAAACCCUGUAACACCGUCAGGUAAAUGUUGACCUUAAUAAUUAUCAGUUAA